rnacentral:lncRNA from 1 species
CUGGCUAUUGUCUAUGUUCGCUGAAGGCCCCAGGGCUCUAGAAUCAGCAGAUGACAAAGCCAGCCAGGCUUGUGUCCUUUUUUACAGGGCUGGGAGUUCCCCUGGGAACUGCUGGGUCCAGAGAUGCUGUCAGGGUGCCCUAUCCUACUGUGGCUAAGCUGGUAUCCAAGUUGUAAGACAAGGUCAUCUUUACUCUUCUCUCUCCUCUUCUCAAGCAGAAGGUGUCAUAACCCUUUGAAAGUUAAAUAUAUGUAGUACGUUAAUUAAACUUCCAUAAAGCUGUAGAAGAAAAAAAUUUAAAAAUCUAAUAAACAGUUUGAAUUUUGAAACUAGUAUUCUAGUUGAACUUCGAUAUGUUAGUGAUCAUUUCUGAGUCCCAGUUUUCUCAUCUAUAGAAAAGAAGGGUUGGAUCAAAUGACUUCUAAAGUUUUUUCAAGGUGAAAUGCCUAAUUCUUUUGUUUUAUGUGUUUAUUAUCUCAGGCAUAAUAGAUUGUAUAUUUGUUCACAAAUAUGUGCUACUUCAUCUCAUGACCUCUCCCCUUAUGGUAAUUUCCUGUGGGUAGAUUAUAUUCACAGUUGCAUGACAGAUUGGCUUGGCCAUGUGAUUUACUUUAGUCAAUGAAAAGUAAUUGGAAGUAAAAUGAUCAGAAGCUUUAAGACUAUGAUUGUGCCCUAUCCGUUACCCUUUUCCAUGUGAUUAAUAAGUCCAAACAGGAGCUGCUCCUUCAGCCUGGGUUCCAGGAUGAAGAAGAUGUGGAGCAAAGCUGAAGACCUGCAUGGGCAUUAAUGUGAGCCAGAAAGGA